rnacentral:lncRNA from 1 species
AAAGGGUUGAUCCCUACGUCCCCAGAUGUUCCCGCUAGUAAACCCGAAAACAAUGGGUUCAUCCCUACCUCCCCAGAUGUUCCCGCUAGUAAUCCCGAAAACAGUGGGUUGAUCCCUAUCUCCCCAGAUCUUUCCGCUAGUAAACCUGAAAAUAAUGGGGUGAUGCCUAUCUCCCCAGAUCUUUCCGCUAGUAAACCUGAAAAUAAUGGGGUGAUGCCUAUCUCCCCAGAUCUUUCCGCUAGUAAACCUGAAAAUAAUGGGGUGAUCCCUAUCUCCCCAGAUCUUUCGGCUAGUAAACCUGAAAAUAAUGGGGUGAUCCCUAUCUCCCCAAAUCUUUCCGCUAGUAAAGCCGCACACAAAGGGGAGAUAAAGCUGAAGAAACAUAAACACAAGAAAAAGAAGCACCAUGGAAAAGGGAAGAAGCACCGUGGGAAAGGGAAGAAGAA